rnacentral:rRNA from 1 species
UACGGAGGAUCCGAGCGUUAUCCGGAUUUAUUGGGUUUAAAGGGAGCGUAGGUGGAUUGUUAAGUCAGUUGUGAAAGUUUGCGGCUCAACCGUAAAAUUGCAGUUGAAACUGGCAGUCUUGAGUACAGUAGAGGUGGGCGGAAUUCGUGGUGUAGCGGUGAAAUGCUUAGAUAUCACGAAGAACUCCGAUUGCGAAGGCAGCUCACUGGACAGUUGACUGACACUGAGGCUCGAAAGUGUGGGUAUCAAACAGG